CCCCUAGAUGUUCUGGGCCGCACGCGCGCUACACUGAACAGUUCAACAACUCUUAACCUUGGCCGAUAGGUCUGGGUAAUCUUUGAACGCUGUUCGUGAUUGGGAUAGACCUUUGCAAUUAUGGGUCUUCAACGAGGAAUUCCUAGUAAACGCAAGUCAUCAGCUUGCAUUGAUUACGUCCCUGCCCUUUGUACACACCGCCCGUCGCACCUACCGAUUGAAUGGUCCGGUGAAAUCUCGGGACGGCGGCUUGGUCGCUUGCGUCCGACUGCUGAAACUUGAUUAAACCAUAUCAUUUAGAGGAAGGUGAAGUCGUAACA
rnacentral:rRNA from 1 species